GUCCACGCCGUAAACGAUGGAUGCUAAUAGUUCGAGGUAUCGACCCCUUGGGCUGUGAAGCUAACGCGUUAAGCAUCCCGCCUGGGGAGUACGAGCGCAAGCUUAAAACUCAAAGGAAUUGACGGGGACCCGCACAAGCGGUGGAUGAUGUGGUUUAAUUCGAUGGUACGCGAAGAACCUUACCAAGGCUUGACAUCCUAGGAAUCCUGGCGAAAGUCGGGAGUGCCUUCGGGAACCUAGUGACAGGUGUUGCAUGGUCGUCGU
rnacentral:rRNA from 1 species